GACGAACGCUGGCGGCGUGCUUAACACAUGCAAGUCGAACGGAAAGGCCCUGCUUUUGUGGGGUGCUCGAGUGGCGAACGGGUGAGUAACACGUGAGUAACCUGCCCUUGACUUUGGGAUGACUUCAGGAAACUGGGGCUAAUACCGGAUAGGAGCUCCUGCUGCAUGGUGGGGGUUGGAAAGUUUCGGCGGUUGGGGAUGGACUCGCGGCUUAUCAGCUUGUUGGUGGGGUAGUGGCUUACCAAGGCUUUGACGGGUAGCCGGCCUGAGAGGGUGACCGGCCACAUUGGGACUGAGAUACGGCCCAGACUCCUACGGGAGGCAGCAGUGGGGAAUAUUGCACAAUGGGCGGAAGCCUGAUGCAGCAACGCCGCGUGCGGGAUGACGGCCUUCGGGUUGUAAACCGCUUUCGCCUGUGACGAAGCGUGAGUGACGGUAAUGGGUAAAGAAGCACCGGCUAACUACGUGCCAGCAGCCGCGGUGAUACGUAGGGUGCGAGCGUUGUCCGGAUUUAUUGGGCGUAAAGGGCUCGUAGGUGGUUGAUCGCGUCGGAAGUGUAAUCUUGGGGCUUAACCCUGAGCGUGCUUUCGAUACGGGUUGACUUGAGGAAGGUAGGGGAGAAUGGAAUUCCUGGUGGAGCGGUGGAAUGCGCAGAUAUCAGGAGGAACACCAGUGGCGAAGGCGGUUCUCUGGGCCUUUCCUGACGCUGAGGAGCGAAAGCGUGGGGAGCGAACAGGCUUAGAUACCCUGGUAGUCCACGCUGUAAACGGUGGGUACUAGGUGUGGGGUCCAUUCCACGGGUUCCGUGCCGUAGCUAACGCUUUAAGUACCCCGCCUGGGGAGUACGGCCGCAAGGCUAAAACUCAAAGGAAUUGACGGGGCCCCGCACAAGCGGCGGAGCAUGCGGAUUAAUUCGAUGCAACGCGUAGAGCCUUACCUGGGUUUGACAUGGAUCGGGAGUGCUCAGAGAUGGGUGUGCCUCUUUUGGGGUCGGUUCACAGGUGGUGCAUGGCUGUCGUCAGCUCGUGUCGUGAGAUGUUGGGUUAAGUCCCGCAACGAGCGCAACCCUUGUUCACUGUUGCCAGCACGUUAUGGUGGGGACUCAGUGGAGACCGCCGGGGUCAACUCGGAGGAAGGUGGGGAUGACGUCAAGUCAUCAUGCCCCUUAUGUCCAGGGCUUCACGCAUGCUACAAUGGCUGGUACAGAGAGUGGCGAGCCUGUGAGGGUGAGCGAAUCUCGGAAAGCCGGUCUCAGUUCGGAUUGGGGUCUGCAACUCGACCUCAUGAAGUCGGAGUCGCUAGUAAUCGCAGAUCAGCAACGCUGCGGUGAAUACGUUCCCGGG
rnacentral:rRNA from 1 species